CCUGCCUCAAAUACCUACUACCUAUGUGACCUUGGACAACUCAAGUCAUUUAAUCUGCUUGUCUUCAAUUUCCUCAAAUGUAAAAUGGAGAUAAUAAUAGCAUCUGUCUUCCAGGGUUGUUGUGAGGAUCACAUGAGAUAAUAUUUCUAAAACCCUUAGCAGAGUGCCUGGAUCAUAGUAGUUGCUAUAUAAAUGUAAUUUAUAGUCCCACUGAGGACAAGAGUUAAUUCUGUUAUUCAGUAUGUAUGUUGCUGUCACCACUGCUGGAGAGUGUAGAUCUUUUUUUUUUUAACCAUCACCUUCCGUCUUAGAAUCAAUACUGUGUACUGGUUCCAAGGUAGAAAAGUGAUAAAGGCUAGGCAAUGGAGUUUAAAUGAUUUGACCAGGGUCACACAGCUAGGAAACAUCUGGGGUCAGAUUUGAACCCAGGACUUCCCAUCUCCAGGCCUGACUCUCAAUCCACUGAGCCACCUGCUGCCUCCAGCUGCCCCCAACAAUGCAGAUCUUUGUGAAGAUUUAACUGGUAAGAGCAUCACCCUUGGAAUGGAGCCAGUAAUACAAUGAGAAAGUCAAUUCUGAAAUCCAAGACCAGGAAGGCAUUCCCCCAGACAAACAGAGAUUGAUCUUUGCUGGGAAGCAGCUAGAAAAUGGGCAAACUUUAUCUGACCACAAUAUCCAGAAUGAAUCCAUCCUGCACUUCAAGGUCCUUUGCCUCAUGAGUAGGCUGCAAGCUUUCUGAAGACGUGGACUGGCAAGACCAUCAUCCUUGAAGUAAAACCAUUGUGAAUGUCAAAGCAAAGAUCCAAGACAAAGAAGGCAUCCCCCCAUCAGCAGUGGUUGCUCUUUACCAGAAAGCAACUAGAAGAUAGGUCCAGAGCUCUCUCCACUGAACCACCUAGCCUCUUGUAGCAGAUUCAAUAAGGGCUUCUUAACAUCUCUCAGAAAACAUCACGGGAACUCCAGGCACCAUCAUGCCUUGAACUUAAACAUGAUGUAAGUAAAAAACAUGUUCCUUUACAUUAUUUUUGGCAAGGUGGGGCCUAGAUUUGCCUUGCUUUUCUUACCUCUGACUCUUUUUUUUCUGGCUUUGACUUUCAUUUUCUGAACUGGUAAUUGAAGCUAACUAAAGAAAGCACACGCAGUUCAGCAUUUCACUUCCAGAUUCCUUCUGGGACUCCCCAGAAUGCUGUUUCAUCUAAAAGGGCAAAAAUGCUGUGGAGGAUUACCCAGAGUGCUACUUACUCUGAAAGGGUAAGGAUAUCGGAGAAAAAAUAGCCUGAGCUUUGAAUGGAGGAGUGGUGUCCAUUUAUGCUUCAGGGGCUUCUGGUCAUUAAAUUCCUGUCAGAAGCAUCUGGAACUCACCAUUUGAAGUGAUCUUUCCAUCUCAGCAGGCUUCUGAAGAAUGGAGCAAAGAAAGAUACUUGAGAACAAAUGACCUCAGUCAAGUUGGAUAGACAGGAAUUCCCACAGCAGAUCUAAGUGUUUCUGGAAGCUUUAAAGAAAAAAAAAAUCAAGAGAGAGCUUCUUGUUCUGGUGGAGAUAGAGAAUAUUAGAAGAGUCUAACAAGAUAUUCCCUGGUCACAGUGCCAGGCAGAUGAGUUGUGUGUGUGUGUGUGUGUGUGUGUGUGUGUGUGUGUGUGAUAAUACAAGAUGAUUCUUGCAACUGAUGAAACUGAUUCUUUUGGGCAAUUAGAGAGGCAGUUGGUUAGUACAGCGGAUAAAGUGCUGUGCCUGGAAUCAAGGAGUUAGUGUUGUUCAGUCAUUUUUCAGUUGCAUCAGGCAUGACCCCAUUUGGGGUUUUUCUUGGCAAAGAUGCUGGAAUAGUUUGCCAUUUCCUUCUCUGGCUCAUUUUACAGAUGAGGAAACUGAGGCUAAUAGGGUUAAAUAACUUGUCCAUAUAGCUAGUAAG
rnacentral:lncRNA from 1 species